GGCUGUGUCUGGGGUCCCUUUUUUUUUUCCUUUUUUUUUUCCCCUAAACUAGAUGGAACUUUCAGAACCUGUUGUAACUAAAUUUCCUUAAAAAGUUUGUAUGGGAAGGUCAUCUCUUGUAUUCGAAAACUGUUCCUUGAUUUCCACGCUUAGCUCGUUGAUUAAUCCACUCCUGGUGACCUUACAGAACUUAAAUGUGUUGUGUUCAUGUUCAAGUCAGCAGAGAGACAUGAUUCUCUUUAAUUGGCAAGAUUUUUAUUUUUAUUUUUUAUUUUGUUCUGUUCUCUUUUGGAUAUAAAUCUUAUGCACAAAAAGAUAUGAACAGAAAAACAAAUCAAAUCUGUCAGUGGAUACGGUACUUGUUCCCCGUCCUGAACUCUGCUUAUACUGUUCCCGCGAGACUCUAAUUAAAUCUUAGUUAUUGCCGCAUCAAGACAUCAUGUUUAAGGAAUUAUUUGUUUUUAUGUUUUAAAAAUAUUUUAAAAAAAAUUAAUUUUUUUUAUUUUUUUAUUUUAAAUUAAUAUUAUUUUAGUGUUUUUACAUAUUUUGAUUCACUGAUAUUAAAAAUAAUUUUUAAAAAAUAAAAAAAAUAUUUUUUUAAUAUUUUUUGGUGAAAAGUACUUUGAAAAGUAACUGCAAUAUAGCUUUUGUGGUUGUAGUUUGAAAAAAAUUAUUUUAUAAAAAAAUACUUUUGUUGAGGUUGGUUUGAUAUUUAUAUAUGUUUGGUUAAAACUGUGGUUGAAAUUGAGGUUGAAUAAAAAGUAGUUUAAUGUAUUUGGUUAAACAUGCUUUUCAAAUUGAGGUUAUAAAAUAACUAAAAAAGAUAUAUAUUAAUAUUGAUGGUUUUUAUUUAAAUAUUGUAGAUUGAACUACCAUUAUUAUAUCAUUAAAUAAAUAAUAUUUAUUAUCAAAUAUUUUUUAUUAUUCCAUUAACUUAUCUACAAUUUCAUCUCAUAUGAAAUUCAUCUGAUAAGAACUAUAGUUUUCAUGGUUUUUUGAGCGUGCAACAAAAUCAGGUAAAAUAUCAUCAGAAACAAAAUUGGAAUUGCAAUCAAAUUCCACAAAUGUUACGUCAUCAUGCGAUAUUUUUCUAAUUUAUGUAGUGUUAUUAAAUAAUAUUAAACACUAGUUUUUCGAAUAAAACAGAAUUUUAAAAAAAUUAAUUUUUUUUCACCUGGCACUGUUCACGUGAACAAUGCCAGGUAAAUGCUUCUCGCGUUGCCAGGUGAAUUAAUUCACCUGGAAUGGGCGCUGUUGUGAAUAGUGCCUAGGUGAAUUACACGAGAAGCAGCUCUCAGCUGCUGUGUGCGAAAUGGCGGUUUGAGAAAAAAAAUUAUGGGUCCAACCAAACAGUAAAUUGUUUUUUUCAUGUUACCAAACACAUAGUUUACGCGGUUUGCUUUAAAAGAUAAAAAUAUCGCGUAAACAAACACCCUCUUAAUCAGAGCUGUAAUGCCUCAUAGUGUGGUCUUUAAAAUGUUUGUUAUUUAAAAAUAUUCAUGUGUAUGGUAUUUAAAGUGUUUUUUAUUUAAAAAUUUAUUAAAAUAAUAUUUUUUAUUUUUAAAAAAUUAUUUUUAAUAUCAUUAUAUUAAAACGAUUUAGAAAUAUAAAAAAAUAAUUUGAAGUAAAUAAAAAAAUUAUUUUUUUUCAAAAACACUUUUGAAACACGUUCUAAAACUUUUUAACUUGGAUGAUUGAGCAAUUAGAAACACAUGUUUUUUAUAUAUUUUUAGAUCGUUUUGAUGUACUAAUAUAAAAAAUAGUUUUUAAAAAUAAAAAAUAUUAUUUUAAUACAUUUCUAAAUAAAAAAACAUUUAAAAAAAUCAUCUUUAACACACUUCCAAGUCUUCAUGGAUGGAUAUUGUGUUUGUAAAAGGAAUGGAAAUUAUUUACCUUUAGGCUUUACCCGAUAAAGUGGCAGAAAUCGAAUUCUCUACCAUUUUAUUAUUAAUUUUAAUUUAGAGAUUUAAACUAUUAAUAAAAGUAUAUUAAUUGCUAGCUAACUCAACACUCUUCAGGUUAAUUUUAAUGGCUAGGGCUUUGGGCAUGGAGGAAGAAAAUAAGGGCAUGUGGAUUUGGGACUACUCACACGAGUGCUGGUCUAAAUAGCCUGUCUCACCUUUGCCAUUAGCACGUGUAAAGUGCCCUACCUGUUUUUUCUAGUCAGAAAAAAAGGACGUUAAAGAUCGGGUCAUGAUCGUAAUUGAGGGAAAAGUAACCUCUAUGAUAUAAUUUCGUAAAUUCGGAGCAUCUUUAUUUGAGAAUCAGUAACGGAAAAGUUUCUGUAGAGGAGUAGUUGCGUGGAGGUCUAAGUUUCAUGGUGGAGAAUUUCGUGCCACCUCAUUGAGAAAUUCAACAGCGUCACUCAACAAUAUUUUAUUUAUUUAUUUAUUUAUUUAUCCACGCUUAUCUUCGGGCUGAGCACCUUAAAAUUUGAUACCAACUAAAGUCGAAUCCAUAGAAAGCGAGACUUUUCUUCAAAUUUCUUGAGAGGAAGGACUUAGUGCGCACGUGUUUUACUACUAUUUUCGAACCAACUAAUUUAUAUUUUUUUUUAGUUUAAUGUGGGUAUCCAAACCAGUUUGUGUGCACAUCAAUUAAUUCCACGGGUCCUGAAGUUAACGACCAUGUAAGUCUCUAAUGGCCAUCAUAUGAGCAACCACAUGACUCGAACAUGAGAUCACAGAGAAACUAAUUCAUAUUUUAAUAUAAUUAAAGGAUGCAUUUUCAUUUUAACUAUUUGAAUUUUAAAUUUCUUGACGAGUUGUGCAUAUAUAUACAAUGAUUUUUUGAUAAAGAUAGCUGUUUUAAAUCCAAUAGAAUAAUUAGAUUAAAUUUAUUAUAUAAAAACCGGAAUAUCUUUAAUCUAAAAUAAAAGGAUAUAUUCGAAUAUUUGAAAAAAGUGAGUGAGUUUGUAUGCAACAAUUUGUGAGGUGAGAGAUGAGAAAAUAAUAGGGGUAGAACAAAAGAUUAAUUAGGAUCAAAAGGUAUGUUAUUUACGUGAUUUUAAUUUUCAGUUUAAUUUUCUUUGUUUAUUAAUACUGAUAGCCACAAAAUACAGGGUAUAAAUUUUAUUUAAAAUAUAAAAUUCUAAUUUAAUGAUGCGUGUAAGCUUACUUGAAAUACACUAUUUAUUUAUUUAUAUAAAAAAAUGAUUAAGGUAUUUAUCUUUCUAUCCACAUGAGAAACGGGUUAAUGGAUUUUCUAUGCAAAUUGUAAAUAGCAAAUGAGUCUCUUGCCUUGUUUUUUUUUUUUUUAUUAUUAUUAUUAUUGUGGGUGUUUAGAUUAGUUUACGUGUAUCUCAACUAAUUUCACGGAUCUUAAAAUUAACAAUCAUGUAAAUUUUUAAUAACCAUUAUAUUAGUAACUAUAAAACUCAAACCUGAAACUACAAAAAAACAACCUUUCUAAUUCAAAGUUCUUAGAGAUCAAGGAGUUGGCAGAUUUUGGACGUCAACUUCUUUGUUUAGAAAAGUCAAAGCAUUGGUGCUUGUUCCACUUGCUUUUGUUUUAUUAAAUUAUAUAUAAACAGCAAUCCAACCAAUCAGAUAAAUUUAUUUACUUCUGUUGUUAAUUUAAUGUCAAUUUGGCAUGGAUACAAUACAACAGAUUGCACUUAUUAAUUCUAUAUUACAAAGUGAAAAUAAAAUAUUUAAAACCAAAUCUCAAAACAUUAUCGAAAGCUUUCAGAUUGCCAGGUGUAUUUAUUAUAUUCUCUCGAAGAGUGGGCCCCCCUUCCAGGUUUCCUACCGACCAUCUACGACCCCCACCGGUGGGCUUUCGACAGAUUCCAUCCACAUGUACGGUUGUGAUGCCGUUGAGCAGGAGCAUCACUAUCAAAGACAGCGUCCACUAAGCAACAACCCCAUUUGGCGUUUGGAACCAUCCCUCUGCUGGUCCCCACAGACGUGGACAUCUUGGGGACACGUGGCGUGUGAUCUACUGGCUGAUGAUCAGGGUCAAAAGAAUAAAGGAACCCAUCACUGAUAUUUUUUUCUAAAGUUUUGUUCGGCAGGUAAUUUUAUUGAUUUUUCCGGCAAUUAAAGGACUUUUUAUAGUUUAUUUAGUGCAAAAAUCAUGGUUAAUGUUUGAGAGUUUCUCUUUGUAUUUUAUGUUUUAAAAGUAUUUUUAAAAAAAUUUAAUUUUUAUUUUAUUUUUUUAUUUAAAUUAAUAUUUUUUUAAUAUUUUUAGAUCAUUUUAAUUGAUUGAUAUCAAAAAUAAUUUUUAAAAAAUAAAUAAUUAUUAUUUUAAUAUAUUUUUGAGUGAAAAAUAAUAAUAAUUAUAUUUUUAAAUAGACUUCUAAAUUAUAUAAAAUUGAUAUAAAUAAUGAAUAAUGUAACUUUAAAAUAAUUAAAAAAAACUUUGUAUUAAUUAACGUGCAAACUAAUUAAGAACAUUUUUAAUAUAAGAAAAUAAUACCGAUCUCCAGGCACGUUAUAGCAAUAGUACAAUACAGAUAAGCAGGGAGUGCAUGGAGGGAUGUAUGUGAAGUGGGACCCUUGGGUUAAUGGGGGCAGAGAGAGAGGAGAAGCGUCCAUGACAGUGACAGCACGCAUCUGUCUAUGGUUUUCUUUCCUCCUUUCUUUCUAACUACCACGAUAACGCCACACGUUACAUUACAGCUCCUCCUUUUUUGGGGGCCACACCACACGUGCCUACCAGGUGUUGCUGUCUCAUUGUGUGUGACGAUUUCAGACUUGUGAAUUAAAAAAUAAAAAAUCGAAUAAAAAUGUUACUUAUUCGCCGGUGAUCGAUGAAUUACUGCUACACAGUCUACACUACUCCGUUCCGUUGUGUUGUGUUGUGUUUCGGAUGGAGAUGGUAAUUCAACAAUUCAUUUAAUUUUAGUAGUCAUUAGAAAUAAAAAGGUUUAAAAUAAAAAUGAAGGAUGCUAAUAGAAAUUAAAUAACUUUUUCAUGGUUAGUAACACUUUUAAACGAGGUCCAAUAAAUUUAGGGUAAUAACACUCAAUAUUUUAGAGUAAAAAGAAUCUACGAGCAAAAACAAAGAGUAUUAAAAAAAUUUCUGAAUUAUCUUAGCACUCAUCCAAGACCCUUUUUUCUUUUAAAAUAAAAAAUAAAAUGAUAAUAGAAAGAAGAUUGGUGAUUUGAAAAAAGGAGGCUAAAGAGGAUUUCAAACAUACAAAAAAAUCAAGAUGCAAUUUUGGAUGGAAUUAGAAGCUUAAUUACCUUAUUGUACCAAAAACUAGAGAGACAAUAUAGAUUCAAGGUCAAAUUAAAUGAUUAUUGGACAAAUUUGAUUUAAUCAUGGGUCAAAUUAAAAGUUUAAUUAUGUUUAAGAAUUAAUUUGGGUUAAAAUUAAGGAAUUUAAUUAAGUGCAAAGACUUACUUAUACUUUAAAUGGGUCAAAUUAAUUUUAUUAAGGACUUAAUUGGUGAAAAAUUAAGUUUGGGAGUCUAACUUUGAUUUAAUUGAGAAGAUUAAAAUUUUAGAGGGUCAAACUUAAUUGAUUCAAAUAAAGGGUAAAAUUAUAAGAAAUUCAAAGUUUAAGGUCAAUUAGGAGUUAAAUUGAAAAAAUUCACAGUCAAGAACCUUUUUGGAAAAGGUGUCGAAUUCUAGGGACUUAAUUUGAUUGAAGGCAAGAGUAAAAUUAAAAAAAAUUAAAAGUUUGAUGGUCAAUUUCCAUAUAUCCAAAAUCAGGGAUCUUUUUGAAAAAGAUGCUGAAAUUCAGAGUUGAUAUUGAAGUUCAGCAGGGGCAAAAUUGCAUGAAAUUAAAAGUUUUAGGCUAAUUAGAUACGCAUUUAAGAGUCAAAGAACUAAAUUGAACUUUGGUCAAAUCCCUAAAAUAAAACUAAAAUGGCG
rnacentral:lncRNA from 1 species